AUCCAGCUGACGAGUUCCAAAUAAGACCAAACGCGCGUCAAACUGGAU
rnacentral:hammerhead_ribozyme from 1 species